UACGGAGGGUGCAAGCGUUAUCCGGAUUUACUGGGUUUAAAGGGUGCGUAGGCGGGCCUUUAAGUCAGUGGUGAAAGCUCCGAGCUUAACUCCGAAACUGCAUUCGAUACUGCCGUGCUUGAGGACUGGAGAGGAGACUGGAAUUUACGGUGUAGCGGUGAAAUGCGUAGAUAUCGUAAGGAAGACCAGUGGCGAAGGCGGGUCUCUGGACAGUUCCUGACGCUGAGGCACGAAGGUCAGGGGAGCAAACGGG
rnacentral:rRNA from 1 species